rnacentral:rRNA from 1 species
UACCCGCAGCACAAGUGGUGGUCAUUAUUAUUGGGCCUAAAGCGUCCGUAGCUGGCUUGUUAGAUGCCUGGGUAAAUCGAUGCGCUCAACGUAUCGAACACCGGGUAGACCGGCAAGCUUGGGACCGGGAGAGACGUGAGCUACUCGAGGAGUAGGGGUAAAAUCCUGUAAUCCUUCGGGGAGGACCAGUGGCGAAGGCGUCACGUUAGAACGGCUCCGACAGUGAGGGACGAAGCCCUGGGGCGCAAACCGG